rnacentral:rRNA from 1 species
CCUACGGGAGGCAGCAGUGAGGAAUAUUGGUCAAUGGCCGGGAGGCUGAACCAGCCAAGUCGCGUGAGGGAAGACGGCCCUACGGGUUGUAAACCUCUUUUGUCAGGGAGCAAGGUGCAGGUCGGGACCUGCUGUGAGAGUACCUGAAGAAAAAGCAUCGGCUAACUCCGUGCCAGCAGCCGCGGUAAUACGGAGGAUGUGAGCGUUAUCCGGAUUUAUUGGGUUUAAAGGGUGCGCAGGCGGCAGCAUAAGUCCGCGGUAAAAUCGCGGGGCUAAACCCCGCCGAGCCGUUGAAACUGUGUGCCUUGAGUGCGCGGAGGGUAGGCGGAAUGCGUGGUGGAGCGGUGAAAUGCAUAGAUAUCGCGCAGAACUCCGAUCGCGAAGGCAGCCUACCGGCGCGCAACUGACGCUGAGGCACGAAAGCGUGGGGAUCGAACAGGAUUAGAUACCCGAGUAGUC